rnacentral:rRNA from 1 species
UACGGGGGGAGCAAGCGUUGUUCGGAUUUACUGGGCGUAAAGGGCGCGUAGGCGGUCAGCACAAGUCAGUUGUGAAAUCUCCGGGCUUAACUCGGAAAGGUCAACUGAUACUGUGCGACUAGAGUGCGGGAAGGGCAACUGGAAUUCUCGGUGUAGCGGUGAAAUGCGUAGAUAUCGAGAGGAACACCUGCGGCGAAGGCGGGUUGCUGGGCCGACACUGACGCUGAUGCGCGAAAGCCAGGGGAGCGAACGGG